UUAUGAGUCUAUACCCAACAGAAAAAUAAAAGUGCUAGUAGAUAGUGGGAUAAAUUUAAAGGAUAAUAUAAUAUUAACUCAAAAAUUAGGUGAACUAUGUUCUAAAACAAAUUGCAGCACCAUCAGGGUUAACAUAAACAUAUGUCAUCAAACAAAUAUACAGUCUUCAGUUUUUAGAGCAACAUGACCAAGAAGCAAUUGUAGGAUAGUAUUGAAAAGGAAUAUGCACUCCUAAGGAAAAUGACAUGGGGAUGGACACAGGA